UACGGGGGGUGCGAGCGUUGUCCGGAAUCACUGGGCGUAAAGGGCGCGUAGGUGGUUUGAUAAGGGUGUGGUGAAAGUCCGGGGCUCAACCCCGGAUCUGCCGUGCCGACUGUCAAACUCGAGGGCUGUAGAGGCAGACGGAAUUCCGGGUGUAGCGGUGGAAUGCGUAGAGAUCCGGAGGAAGACCGGUGGCGAAGGCGGUCUGCUGGGCAGUUUCUGACACUGAUGCGCGACAGUGUGGGGAGCAAACAGG
rnacentral:rRNA from 1 species